GACGAACGCUGGCGGCGUGCUUAACACAUGCAAGUCGAACGUGAUUUUUGUGGAAAUUCUUUCGGGAAUGGAAAUGAAAUGAAAGUGGCGAACGGGUGAGUAACACGUGAGCAACCUACCUUACACAGGGGGAUAGCCGUUGGAAACGACGAUUAAUACCGCAUGAGACCACAGAAUCGCAUGAUAUAGGGGUCAAAGAUUUAUCGGUGUAAGAAGGGCUCGCGUCUGAUUAGCUAGUUGGAAGGGUAAAGGCCUACCAAGGCGACGAUCAGUAGCCGGUCUGAGAGGAUGAACGGCCACAUUGGAACUGAGACACGGUCCAAACUCCUACGGGAGGCAGCAGUGGGGAAUAUUGCACAAUGGGGGGAACCCUGAUGCAGCAACGCCGCGUGAGCGAAGAAGGUUUUCGAAUCGUAAAGCUCUGUCCUAUGAGAAGAUAAUGACGGUAUCAUAGGAGGAAGCCCCGGCUAAAUACGUG
rnacentral:rRNA from 1 species